rnacentral:rRNA from 1 species
UACGUAGGGGGCAAGCGUUGUCCGGAUUUAUUGGGCGUAAAGCGCGUGUAGGCGGCCAGGUAGGUCCGCUGUGAAAACCCGAGGCUCAACCUCGGGACGUCGGCGGAAACCAUUUGGCUAGAGUCCGGAAGAGGAGAGUGGAAUUCCUGGUGUAGCGGUGAAAUGCGCAGAUAUCAGGAAGAACACCAAUGGCGAAAGCAGCUCUCUGGGACGGUACUGACGCUGAGACGCGAAAGCGUGGGGAGCGAACAGG